CAGUCGCCACGGUAAUACGUAGGGUGCAAGCGUUAAUCGGAAUUACUGGGCGUAAAGCGUGCGCAGGCGGUUUGUUAAGACAGAUGUGAAAUCCCCGGGCUCAACCUGGGAACUGCAUUUGUGACUGGCAAGCUAGAGUGUGGCAGAGGGGGGUGGAAUUCCGCGUGUAGCAGUGAAAUACGUAGAUAUGCGGAGGAACACCGAUGGCGAAGGCAGCCCCCUGGGCCAACACUGACGCUCAUGCACGAAAGCGUGGGGAGCAAACAGGAUUAGAUACCCCCGUAGUCCCUGUCUCUUAUAC
rnacentral:rRNA from 1 species